UACGACUACAUAUCAGGCAUAUCAAUAAGCGGAGGAAAAGAAACUAACUAAGGAUUCCCUCAGUAACGGCGAGUGAAGCGGGAAGAGCUCAAAUUUGAAAUCUUCAAGGUUUUACCUUGACGAAUUGUAGUUUAAAGAAGUGUUUUCUGUUGAAGUUUUGGUAAAAGUUCUUUGGAAUAGGACAUCAUAGAGGGUGAGAAUCCCGUAUUUGACCAGUUACUUUCCAGCUGUUGUGAUACACUUUCAAAGAGUCGGAUUGUUUGGGAAUGCAGUCCAAAAUGGGUGGUAAAUUUCAUCUAAAGCUAAAUACUGGCGAGAGACCGAUAGCGAACAAGUACCGUGAGGGAAAGAUGAAAAGAACUUUGAAAAGAGAGUUAAACAGUACGUGAAAUUGUCAAAAGGGAAGCGUUUGACACCAGUGUUGUUUUCUCGAAAAUCAAUUAAAAAGGAUUGGAUUUUGUGUUGUAUUGACCUUUAAUCAAGCUUUCUUCACUCUUUUCAUUGUCUUUUUUAAUGCACUUUUCGUUUAACAAGUCAGCAUCAGUUUCUUUUGUUGUAAAAGGGUCAUUGGAAGGUAGCUUUCUUUUCGGAGAAAGUGUUUAUAGCCUUUGCCUCUGCAAUCGGAGAGAUUGAGGUCUGCAGCGUAGAUCCUUCUGGAUUAGAUACAUUUGUGCUAAGUUAUAGCCUUUCAUAGACAACUUGUUGACUAUGAUCUGUCAUGUAGCUUACUCGCUUAUGCUAUUUUACCUACGCUUAGGAUGUUGACGCGCGUGUGUGCGUG
rnacentral:rRNA from 1 species